AGUGUACCACCCUGAGUUCCCA
rnacentral:miRNA from 1 species